GGGUUCUACCGUUGGUCGGGCUAACCAGUCUGUACUAGCGUGUAGAAUUCCUACCUUCUGGGGAACCAUCAUGUUAUUAAUUUAGCGUGGUGGGAAACCAGGACCUUUACCUUGAAAAAAUUAGAGUGUUCAAAGCAGGCUUACGUCUGAAUACAUUAGCAUGGAAUAAUAGAAUAGGACGGUGGUCCUGUUUUGUUGGUUUCUGAAUCACCGUA
rnacentral:rRNA from 1 species